rnacentral:rRNA from 1 species
UACGUAGGGGGCAAGCGUUGUCCGGAUUCAUUGGGCGUAAAGAGCGUGUAGGCGGCCAGGUAGGUCGGUUGUGAAAACUGGAGGCUCAACCUUCAGAGGUCGACCGAAACCAUCUGGCUAGAGUCCGGGAGAGGAGAGUGGAAUUCCUGGUGUAGCGGUGAAAUGCGCAGAUAUCAGGAAGAACACCCGUGGCGAAGGCGGCUCUCUGGGACGGUACUGACGCUGAGACGCGAAAGCGUGGGGAUCGAACAGG